rnacentral:rRNA from 1 species
GACGAACGCUGGCGGCGUGCUUAACACAUGCAAGUCGAACGGAAAGGCCUGCUUUCCCUUGUGGAUUGCGGGUACUCGAGUGGCGAACGGGUGAGUAACACGUGAGUGAUCUGCCCCCAACUUGGGUAUAAGCCUGGGAAACUGGGUCUAAUUCCCGGUAGGACUGCAGGGUGGUGCCUGUGGUGGAAAACGAUUUUCUAGUGGUUGGGGAUGAGCUCGCGGCCUAUCAGCUUGUUGGUGGGGUAAUGGCCUACCAAGGCGGCGACGGGUAGCCGGCCUGAGAGGGUGGACGGCCACAGUGGGACUGAGAUACGGCCCAGACUCCUACGGGAGGCAGCAGUGGGGAAUAUUGCACAAUGGGCGGAAGCCUGAUGCAGCGACGCCGCGUGGGGGAUGACGGCCUUCGGGUUGUAAACUCCUUUCGACCGCGAGGAAGCCACCUGGUUGGAAGGGUGGUGACGGUAGUGGUAGAAGAAGCACCGGCUAACUACGUG